UGGGGAAUAUUGGACAAUGGGCGAAAGCCUGAUCCAGCCAUGCCGCGUGUGUGAAGAAGGUCUUCGGAUUGUAAAGCACUUUAAGUUGGGAGGAAGGGCAGUAAGCGAAUACCUUGCUGUUUUGACGUUACCGACAGAAUAAGCACCGGCUAACUCUGUGCCAGCAGCCGCGGUAAUACAGAGGGUGCAAGCGUUAAUCGGAAUUACUGGGCGUAAAGCGCGCGUAGGUGGUUCGUUAAGUUGAAUGUGAAAGCCCCGGGCUCAACCUGGGAACUCAUCCAAAACUGGCGAGCUAGAGUAGGGCAGAGGGUGGUGGAAUUUCCUGUGUAGCGGUGAAAUGCGUAGAUAUAGGAAGGAACACCAGUGGCGAAGGCGACCACCUGGGCUCAUACUGACACUGAGGUGCGAAAGCGUGGGGAGCAAACAGG
rnacentral:rRNA from 1 species